CAAAUAUGUACUUAAUUGUGUAUUUUUUCUUUUCUUAAGGGAAAGCAACAAGGAUUUCCCCACAGAGGCCUGAAGGAGAAGCUGGCUUCUGCACACAGCUGAGCUCCUCACUGCUAUGCCCUCCACACUGCAGAUCAUGGAAUACAAGGUAUAACUGGAAAAAAACAAAGAGUGGUGGGAAACAUCUCAAGUCACCGUUCACCUCUGCAAGGAGAAGUUCAAAUCCAGGAAAGCCAGUAGCAAAGCUAGCUGAAUUUUUAUCUCACCCUCAUAAUCAGAAGACUUUAUGUUUGCUUUGAUGCAUGAGAUUUAUGGUGAUAGGGUGUAUCGUGAAACUUUUAGGGCCCAAACUGUGCUCUUGUUGUGCCCAGUUUUCACCAAUAGCUGCUCAUCUAGUGCUCAAGGCCCAAUGGACAGGGCCCUGGGCAGCCUGAUAUGAUAUCUGAUUUGGUGGUUGGCAGCCCUGUGCAUGACAGGGGGUGGAACUGGAUGAUUGUUGAGGUUCCUCUCAACCCAAGCCAUUCUGUGAUUCUAUGACUCAAUGGUUCUAUGAUCUGGAGUCACCCCAGAUUGAUGAUGGUGUAGCUAAGGGCAGGAUGUGAUCCUCUGUCUCUUCAAAUGAAUAAGAUUAGAUGAGCAGCAUUUAGUGGGUGUCAGCUGAGAGCAGCUUGCCUCCCCUCCUCAGUCAGGCCAACUUUCACAUGAGAGAUGAGUAGAAGCGAGUGGGAUGGCUUUGUAUUAUCCAUUACAGGAACUUGGAGUCCACCAUCAGCCAUCUCCGCUUCGAGCAUCUCCAUGAAAGCUGGCAAACCAGAAGCAUGCAGCCUACGCGCAUCCAAGAGCGUGUGCAGAAGGGGAGCUGAUUUUUCUUUGGAAGAAUUGAACUGUGAGGAAGUGACUGCUAUUCCCACCAAGAGGAGUGAUGGCUCAGUGCUUACUUUAGAUGGCUGUAUCCAGGCAGCAUCACUGAAGAUAGUCCCCCCAACACCAUACUAGUAAUUAAAGAGCAGCCCACUGAGGUCUGGAGCUUUACAUCUCCUCCUACAGCAGAAACCUAAAAUACAGCAAAGGAACUUCACCCAAAAGUGCCUCUUACUCUCCACUGUCCAUCAGAGUAUCUCAGAUGCUGGUGCAUACAUUUGUGCAGAUGAUUCAAAACUGAAAUGCCCACAUAAGCAGAGAUAUUGAGUAGAUCUGUAGGGCCUCUCAGCAGAAACCAAGCUAUGAGUCUCCUUUUGCUGCCUAGAUGAGUUAUAUUGAUACCC
rnacentral:lncRNA from 1 species